UACAGAGGGUGCGAGCGUUAAUCGGAAUUACUGGGCGUAAAGCGUGCGUAGACGGCUAUUUAAGUCGGGUGUGAAAGCCCCGGGCUCAACCUGGGAAUUGCAUUCGAGACUGAAUAGCUAGGGUACGGUAGAGGGAAGUGGAAUUUCCGGUGUAGCGGUGAAAUGCGUAGAUAUCGAGAGGAACACCGGUGGCGAAGGCGGCCAACUGGACGAAUACUGACGCUGAGACUCGAAAGCGUGGGGAGCAAACAGG
rnacentral:rRNA from 1 species